rnacentral:pre_miRNA from 1 species
GGACUAAAUAAGUCAAAAACUACCAAAAAAUAAGCACAUAUUUACCGAAUAAAUAUGUGCUUAUUUUUUGGUAGUUUUUGACU